GACGAACGCUGGCGGCGUGCCUAAUACAUGCAAGUCGAACGCUAAAGCGAUGAUCUUGUGGUGUGCUCGUGUGUCGCGCGCGGGUGAGUCACGUGUGGGAAACCUCCUUGGUAUUGGGGUAAAACCAGGAGAAACGGGAUCUUAUCCGGUAGGACCACCUGUGGCACGUGGGGUGUUGGAGAGAGUCGGCGGUUCUGGAUGGACACGCGGACUUUCAGCUUGUUGGUGGGGUGGUGACUUACUAGGGCUUCGACGGGUAGCCGGCCUGAGAGGGUGACCGGCCACAUAGGGACUGAGAUACGGCCCAGACGCCUACGGGAGGCAGGAGUGGGGAAUAUUGCACGAUGGGCGGAAGCCGGAUGCAGGAACGCCGCGUGCGGGAUGACGGCUUUCGGUUUGUAACCCGCGUUAGCCUGUGACGAAGCGUGAGUGACGGUAAUGGGUAAAGAAGCAACGGCUAACUACGUG
rnacentral:rRNA from 1 species